rnacentral:rRNA from 1 species
AUUGAACGCUGGCGGCAGGCCUAACACAUGCAAGUCGAGCGAGCGGCGGACGGGAGAGUAAUGUAUGGGGACUGCCGGCUAGAGGGGGGUAACUACUGGAAACGGUGGCUACUACCGCAUACUAUAGGCGAACCCAUAUGGGAUUAGCUAGUAGGUGGGGUAAAGGCUUACCAAGCGGACGAUCUCUAGCUGGUCUGAGAGGAUGAUCAGUCACACUGGGACUGAGACACGGCCCAGACUCCUGCGGAGGCAGCAGUGGGGAAUAUUGCACAAUGGGCGCAAGCCUGAUGCAGCCAUGCCGCGUGUAUGAAGAAGGCCUUAGGGUUGUAAAGUACUUUCAGUCGGGAGGCGUUACCGACAGAAGAAGCACCGGCUAACUACGUGCCAGCAGCCGCGGUAAUUC